rnacentral:tRNA from 1 species
GGAGAGAUGGCUGAGUGGUUGAUAGCUCCGGUCUUAAAAAAUGGUUAGUUCUAGGAAUUAUCGAGGGUUCGAAUUGCUCUCUCUCCU